rnacentral:rRNA from 2 species
CGGUGAAAUGCGUAGAUAUUAGGAGGAACACCAGUGGCGAAGGCGACUUUCUGGACUGUAACUGACGCUGAGGCACGAAAGCGUGGGGAGCAAACAGGAUUAGAUACCCUGGUAGUCCACGCUGUAAACGAUGGAUACUAGGUGUAGGGGGUAUCGACCCCCCCUGUGCCGGAGUUAACGCAAUAAGUAUCCCGCCUGGGGAGUACGGCCGCAAGGCUGAAACUCAAAGGAAUUGACGGGGGCCCGCACAAGCAGCGGAGCAUGUGGUUUAAUUCG